UCCACUUGAUCUCAUCCUCCUCCACGUGCGGGACCCGGAGGUCGCCGGCGUCCUACUCGCCGGGCCAUGCAAGCUCGCUUCACCAUCGACCUCAGCCCCAUGUCCAACCAAGCAACACUCAAGUACCACCUGAUCUCCGCCCACUGCCGUCGAGGGCACAUUGCACCCGGGACAAGUCAGAUUUGGGCAAGGAGGGCCGUCCACCAUUGGCAAUGGUGUGCUCAGGGGAAGGCGGGAGUUGAAUAGUUGGAGGGUUGUGCUAUGUGCAACUAAAAUGCUUUUGUUUGAUGCUACUGUUGGAUAUGUUGGUCGAUGAUCUUGUUGUCAAGGUGAAACUUUGAAUUUGAGAUCUCAACUUAUGAUGACUGC